AUUGAACGCUGGCGGCAGGCCUAACACAUGCAAGUCGAGCGAGCCGCGGAGGGGUGAGACAUGUAUGGGAAUCUGCCCGAUAGAGGGGGAUACCUACUGGAACCGGUGGCUAAUACCGCAAACCUGCCGCUGAAACCAUAUGGGAUUCGCUAGUAGGUGGGGUAAAGGCUCACCUAGGCGACGAUCUAUAGCUGGUCUGCGAGGGUGAUCAGCCACACUGGGACUGAGACACGGUCCAGACUCCUACGGGAGGCAGCAGUGGGGAAUAUUGCACAAUGGGCGCAAGCCUGAGAGAGCCAUGCCGCGUGUAUGAAGAAGGCCUUAGGAUUGUAAAGUACUGUCAGCAGGGAGGCGUUACCCGCAGAGGAAGCAACGGCUAACUCCGUGCCAGCAGCCGCGGUAAUAC
rnacentral:rRNA from 1 species